GCUGAGGCUGUGCUGGCAGAGAGGGCAGCUCAGCUCAGAGAUGCACAGGCCCAACUCUCCAGGAACAAACUGUUGAUCAAAGACCUCCGUGGGGAGAACAGGGGGUUUGCAGUGGCCCUGCAGGCUGCUGAACUGCAGCAGAAGAGCAUGAAGGAGAAGAACCAGCUGUUGGAGGAGCAAGCCUCAGCUCUGAAGCAGCUUAUCGGAAAAAUCACCCCAGCAUCUCUGAGUGGGUGAUGGGACACCUUCAGUGGCAGUCCUGCCCUCGGUCCUGGCUGGGGUUGGUCAGGUGCAGAAGGGGAGGUAUGGCUGGGUUGGGAAAUUAGCCUUGUCCUCUCUGGUCUUGCAGGGUGUUCUUGCAUAGAAAAUAGAUAAUGAAGAGCCCAGAUCUUUAAGGAAGUUUGUCCUGUGGAUAGCUGAAUUUUCCAACUGAAAGCACCAGCUUUGCCGCAUUUCUCAGAGGUAGAGUGUGCUGUUAUAAGUCAGGUCUGUCUCAGGGCAGCCAUCCCACAGGAUUUUCUUAAACUCCAGCAGUGUUUGGUGGUGAUGCAGAUGCUCCCUUUCUGCGGAGGGUUGAUGUUCAGGCCACACUGUUAUGGCUGGAAAGCCAGGGCAGAAGGGCUUGCAUGUUCCUGUGUCUGGCUCACUCUGAUCAGGAAAGCUUUGUGGUGGCAUUAAAACGUUUGUAAUAUUACAGCACUUCCUGCCA